AUCACAGGAUGGCUGAGGUUGGAAGAGACCUCUGAAGAUCAUCUAAUCCAACAAUCCCACACAAGCAGGGCCAUCUAGAGCACUUUCUCCAGGAUCCCAUU